rnacentral:tRNA from 1 species
CAAGUCAUACUUUAGAAGUAAGAAUUAUUUACAAUAAUUUUUUAGUUUGUGCAAUUCAGCUUGAUUUGA